UGGAAAUGCAUUGAAGAUCGGUUUGAAAAGAAACUUAGUUGCUGGAAGGGCAAACUUAUGUCAUAUGGAGGCCGGUUAAUUCUUAUUAAUUCGGUGCUUACGAGUAUGCCGAUGUUCCUACUAUCUUUCUUUGAAGUUCCAGUUGGGGUUAGGAAAAGGCUGGACUUCUACCGAUCGAGAUUUUUUUGGCAGAGUGAUGAACUUAAGAGAAAGUAUAGACUCGCCAAGUGGGAUGUUAUUUGUCGACCAAAGGACCAAGGGGGUUUGGGUAUCGAGAAUCUUGAGGUCAAGAACAGAUGCCUGCUUAGCAAGUGGCUGUAUAAGCUUUCAGUUCAG
rnacentral:rRNA from 1 species